rnacentral:rRNA from 1 species
CCUACGGGAGGCUGCAGUGGGGAAUAUUGCACAAUGGGCGAAAGCCUGAUGCAGCAACGCCGCGUGAGCGAUGAAGGCCUUCGGGUCGUAAAGCUCUGUCCUCAAGGAAGAUAAUGACGGUACUUGAGGAGGAAGCCCCGGCUAACUACGUGCCAGCAGCCGCGGUACUACGUAGGGGGCUAGCGUUAUCCGGAAUUACUGGGCGUAAGGGGUGCGUAGGUGGUUUCUUAAGUCAGAGGUGAAAGGCUACGGCUCAACCGUAGUAAGCCUUUGAAACUGGGGAACUUGAGUGCAGGAGAGGAGAGUGGAAUUCCUAGGGUAGCGGUGAAAUGCGUAGAUAUUAGGAGGAACACCAGUUGCGAAGGCGGCUCUCUGGACUGUAACUGACUCUGAGGCACGAAAGCGUGGGGAGCAAACAGGAUUAGAUACCCCAGUAGUC